CGCGGGGGCGCCCCCCUCGGCCGGGCGCUCGGGUUUCAGCCGCCGCUCCCCCGCGCCCCGCCCGCGCUUGGCCCGCUCGCCGGCGCCGGGAGAGACCUCGUAACGGAACUGGGACGCCAGCGCUGCAUUGUGGGAGCUUUUAAAGCGGCGGAGAGCGCGGCGCGACCCUCGGGCCCACCGGGCCACGCUCGCCCGGCCCGCGACGCACGGAGGCCUGAGGACCCGAAAGCCGGGCGCGGGGAGAUGACCGGUGGCUCGUGACUGUCCCACGGGCAAAAUCUUCCAUCGCCCGGGGCUGAGACUUGUCAAACUGCACUCUACGGUCACCCGGAAAGUAGGAGGCUUUUUCUGCAGAGGGAAAAAAAUCAAAAAGAGCCCUUCCAUCCCCCCUCCAAGGACUGGGUUUGAAUUGCUUUUCAUCUGCAGUGGCUGUGAUUCAGCGUCCCUCUUAGCAGCAGGCAAUGACAGAGGCAGGAGAGGAAAAAAAAAAAAAAAAAAAGAAAAAACACAGCAAAUGAAUCAAACGGACGGGUUAGUUAUAGCAGGCAAGAGUGUGGUUAUCGUUGGACCAGGAUUCAGGAUCUGACCGAGUAGCUGACUCUUAAUCCAGUUUGUGUUGAUCACCAGGAGGAUCUGGACCUCAGUGUUAUCAUAUCUAGAGCUAUAAUCACAUCCCUGUUAAGCCUUCCUGAGAUCACAUCAAAUGUCCUUGAUGGGAAUUGUAAACAAACCUUAAUUCUGGUAUCUAAUGAUAUUCCAGGAAAGGAGUCAAACUAGAGUCAGUGAUAUGCCAACUCCACCUUUGCCUUCCACCAUGUUUGGAAGCUCCCUGAGGCCUCACCAGGAGCAGAUGCUCAUCCCAUGCUUCCUAUAAGCCUGCAGAACUGGAAAAGAAAGCUGGAUAAAGUAUUUAUAGAAGAUAGAGGACCUGUGGUGGCUCAUGCCUGUAAUCCAAGGUGCAAGGAUCGCUUGAGGCCAGAAGUUCAAGACCAGUCCAAGCAACAUAGCAAGGCCCCAUCUCUACAAAAAAUGAAAAUAAAAUUAGCCAAGCAUGAUGGCUCAUGCCUGUAGUUCUAGCUUCUAGAGAGGCUGAGGCAGGAGGAUUGCUUGAGUCUAGGAGUUCAAGAUUACAAUGAGUUAUGGUCACACCACUGCACUCCAGCCUGGGUGAUGGAGUGAGACUGUCUCAAUAAAAAGACAAAAAGGCUGGCCAGGGGCAGUGGCUCAUGCCUGUAAACCCAGCACUUUGGGAGGCAAAGGCAGCAGGAUUGUUUAAGCCCAGGAAUUUGAGAUCAGCCUGGACAAUAUGGUCAAGGAAGCUUUUCCUGAUCCACUAACUAAGGACAAUCAAACCCUUCAUGAUCUAGAAUCUGGAGACUGUUGUCUUCUGGGAAUAGUAUCAGAGAAAGACUGCCCUUACUGCCCACAUGUAGCAAAACUUUGAGACUUUGAAUUAUGGGUCCAUAAUCCCACAACUCAGAGGGGCACCUCUAGACUCUUGGAACUGUGUAUCUAUUGGAGACUUUAAGGUAAAGCUGACCAGAGAUGUUUUUCUCCAGAAGCAGACAGCACCAUAGUCAUGGACAGCUUUCCCAAGAUCAUAGAUCAAGACUUCUCUGCUGUCAUGAGACUCAUACCUCUUAAUUUUUUCUUGCUCAUGCUUCUGUGAACAAUAGAAUUGGAAAAGGGGUGGUCCCGUGUGCACCCAUAGGGUAUACUUUUAUCUGUGGAGGGUUUUGCUGCCAGCUUUAUACAUGGACAAACUUAUGCCUUCAUGGAUGGAAGAUAAAGGGCUAAUAUGGGUUAGAAAUUUUAAUGGUACCUUUGUUUCUCCAUAAUCAUUCAGAAACAGAACACUGGUCCACUCUUGUUAACCUACAUCAUAGGUUGAAGAGAACAUUGCCAGGAGGCCUUCAUCCUUCCAGAUGGGCAUCAUUUGUUGGGUCUUUUUCCAUGGUAUGAAGAAAAUGAAGCAAUGAUUAGAAAUUGGUCCCUUGGCUGGGCACAGUGGCUCACGCCUGUAAUCCCAUCACUUUGGCAGGCCGAGGUGGGUGGAUCACCUGAGAUCAGGAGUUUGAGACCAGCCUGACCAAUGUGGUGAAACCCCAUCUCUACUAAAAAUAGAAAAAUUAGCUGGGUGUGGUGGUGCACACCUGUAAUCCCAGCUACUCGGGAGGCUGAGACAGGAGAAUUGCUUGAACCUAGGAGGUAGAGGUUGCAGUGAGCCAAGAUCACCCCACUGCAUUCCAGGUUGAGCAACAGAGCAAGACUCUGUCUCAAAAAAAAAAGAAGAAAGAAAGAAAGAAAUUGAUCCCUCAUAAUAGGCUCUACAGCAGAUUCUACUGCAAAGACUAUGGUUGCACAACAGACUUCUUUGAAUUUGCUUGCUAAACUUGUACUGGAUAAUAGAAUUGCCUCCAAAAGUGCUGGGAUUACAGGUGUGAGCCACUGUGCCCAGCCUCUCUUGUUUAAUUGUAUUCAUUCUAAUGUUUACUUACUUCUUUAAUUUGUAAAAUGGGGUCACUUAGAGUUUUUUAGCGUAUCCUACCAUUUAGCCACUAUUACUGAUAAUUUGGAUGGAAAAGAAAAAUAAAUUAUAUCACCUCUC
rnacentral:antisense_RNA from 1 species